GGGUGAUGCAGGCUCUUAAAGGGGACGCGGGAAGCCCCGCCCCGGGCGCGGGGUUGGUGCGGCAGGUGCUGCGGCACGCGCUACCUGGGCACUGGUGGCCGCCAAAGCACCUGGCUCUGCCGCACCGGCCGGCAGCGUGUUCAGAGGGCCAAGGGCAUUCUUCAGCCCCGGGAGUGUCCUCGUGCCCCGCGGACUGCACAGCGGUGGCUGCAGGUUGGCAACCCAGGCACCCGCAAGACUCAGGUGAUUUGCUUGGCUUCCAGGUAGCUGCAGAGGCGCUGCCUAAGCCAACCCUCCUGCCCUUUGAGCUUGCCCUCUUUGCAGCCUGGAAAGGAGUGGUGUUCUCUCUGGGGUAAUGAAUAAGUCAUUGCUCCUUGCUUGCUUGUUCACAGAAAACAUUUCACUGUCCUGGUUUCACUAUCCCUUAAGCCUCCUUAACGCUGGGGAAAGCCACCAAUGCUGGGUUUUUUGUUUUUCGUUUUUUUUUCCCCCUAGAUCUGUCACAAUUUGAUGACUUAAAAAGAAGAUGAAAAAAAUGUUAAACCUUAAAGCUGGUCAGGACUAAGAAGCACAUAGAGAAGAACUUGAAUUGUGUCCCCAUGUGGGGACCAAAAGCUAUAAGGAGAAAAAGCCAGAACAGCAGAAGCCAAGGGGGAUCCUUAGCAUCCACAUCCCAAGUGAGGGUCGAUGAACUUGAAAUGUGUCUUUGUAGAAAUGGAGAAGGAAGCAAGCACAACGACUGUAUACAAGAGUGCUCCCACUGUAAGGAAUCUAAGGAAUCGUGAAUUGUAGAAGAAGUAGAUGCAGCCAGGAAUCAUGGAAUCAAAUGUCAGGGGACGCAGGCCAGGUCAUCUCCAGGUAAAGACACGCUCUCCCGCUUUCUGCCGAAGUAUGAGGCCUUCACCAUUUCUCUUUGUUUUUAUAGGCCCCAAAAUUCAGAAAAAUACUUCUCUUCUUUAAGAAAAUUCACUGGCAAAUCUGAUGAUAAACACUAACCAGUCUUCGGUAGCAGGGGAGUACAGAGAACAGAAUGGCAGGGGUGGAUACAAGUUUCGGGAAAUCUAAAACUUACACAAUUGUGAAGGCCUCUUUACAAAAAAAAAAAAAAAAAAAAAAAACUACAGAAUGCAAUGGUCAAAGGCCUUGGAGCAGCAGGGCUCGGGUGCUUGCAUUUCCUUAUCUUUGCCUUAUCUGUGGGCCUCUUUUCUGUGUUGGUGAAGAGCCAACUCAUUAGAAAAGACCCUGAUGCUGGGAAAGAUUGAGGGCAGGAGGAGAAAGGAGCAACAGAGGAUGAGAUGGUUGGAUGGCAUCACCCAACUCAAUGGACAUGAACUUGGGCAAACUCUGGGAGAUAGUGAAGGACAGAGAAGCCUAGCAUGCUACAAUCCAUGGGAUCACAAAAAGUUGACACGACUGAGCAAAUGAACAACAAAUCUGUGUCUCAAGGACCUCUCCACAACCCCAGCUGACUCUUAUGCUUAGGAAAACUGUUCAGAGUGGCGAGAUCUUCUGGUAUUGGAGGCGUAAUGGAAAUUUCCCCCAUUUGAAAAUAUUAACAAAAAAUUCAAAUUAAUAAACUCUUCAUAAGACUUGGCUUUUGGUCAUCACUUUGGCACAUCUGGCAAAGGGAGUCACUAUGCAGUCAUCAAGGUCAAGAAAGGUUAUUGCCCAAAGGACUCCGCUCACCUCUCAGCUGUUCGACCUGGUGGGAGCUGACUGAAACGCUUCAAGCUUAGAGGAUGAUUUGGGGUGAGUAGCUUGAGAAGAGGGUGAGAACAUAAAGAAAAUGUUGGAACAUAGUGGCAGAAGGAGAAGACAGCUUGAAUGUGGGAGGAGAAAGAAAAACUACUUCCAGACCUUGCUCUUUGGAAAUAAAUUGAAUGAUGGCACCUCACACAGUGAGUUGAUAGCUGGGGUACAUGGAAAACUUUAGGACAGCAUUUCAUAAAAAU